rnacentral:rRNA from 1 species
AUGAAUAUCCUAAGCUGGAACUGCCGAAGGGCGGGGAAUUUUCAGAUAGUUCGUGAUCUUGUGAGUCUAGUGCAGGCUCACUCCCCUAGUAUCGUUUUUCUUUGUGAAACUAGGAAGUCUAAGAAUAAAAUGAAGAGAUAUCGUGCUCGGUUAGGUUUGAGAGGUUUUGAUGCCUUAGAUAGUGUUGAUCUGAGUGGUGGUCUUGCUUUAUAU